GCCCGGUUAGCUCAAUCGGUAGAGGUCAGUUCACAUCUUCCACAUCAUCUAGUCAACAUCAUAUACUGACGUAUAUCAUAGCGUGAGACUCUUAAUCUCAAGGUUGCGGGUUCGACCCCCGCAUCGGGCU